AGAACGAACGCAGGCGGCAUGCCUAAUACAUGCAAGUCGAACGAACUCUUCGGAGUUAGUGGCGCACGGGUGCGUAACGCGUGGGAAUCUGCCCCUUGGUUCGGAAUAACAGUUGGAAACGACUGCUAAUACCGGAUGAUGACGAAAGUCCAAAGAUUUAUCGCCCAGGGAUGAGCCCGCGUAGGAUUAGCUAGUUGGUGAGGUAAAGGCUCACCAAGGCGACGAUCCUUAGCUGGUCUGAGAGGAUGAUCAGCCACACUGGGACUGAGACACGGCCCAGACUCCGUACGGGAGGCAGCAGUAGGGAAUAUUGGACAAGUGGGCGCAAGCCUGAUCCAGCAAGUGACCGCGUGAGUGGA
rnacentral:rRNA from 1 species